ACCCCUGAUUUAGGCUGCAGUCGGCUCACUCGGGAGUAAGCCCUACUGAACCCUGCUGGGCUUAAUUCUGAGCAAAGACACAUAGGAUGAGCUGUUCGCCUUCAAUGGUCCCCAUGUAAACGGUGCACUUGGACUGAAGAUCACUUUUAAGAGGCAUUUCCCAAUCACAAAAGUUAGAGGGCAAAAACUUCUGAAGCGGAGCAAAGUUUAGCAGGGUCAGCUUUUCUCCCUUGCUCUCUAUCAAAUCAAUACACCAGCGCAUGGGUGUUAGGAAAGAGGUAAAGUGAAAAACAGCCCGGUCGACUUUUUAACAGCUCGGCCCCUGUACAUCAAACAGCAGCCCACAGGCAGAAAGAAACCGAGUGAAGCUUUUCCCAGCACACAGGUGAAUCCAGGAAGCUGCCAAGAUGUGUAAUUGCUGCUUUAGUUCGUGUUCGGGUCAGGGUUCUCUCUGGGACUGUUUUGUGAAUACAGUGAAGAGUUUCCUAAGGCCCUUGAAGCAUUUGAUUUUCGGGUUCAAAGAACUGCCUGAGGGUCCUUUCGAGGCUCCCAAGCUUCCCAAGGUUGCUGAGAAGACAAAGUGAGGCGGGGCAGAACGUCUGCUGACUCCCUUCCAUGAUGGACUCGGCCUCCUCUUCUCCUCCAACGCUGGCAGAGCAUGGAUGGGUCUCCCCCCGACUGUCAAGGGGCUCUGUGAUAUUAUGUUAGCCCCAAAUUCCAAAGCAAAAUAAAGCUCAUUUUGGAUCUGAACCUUUGUGUCUGGCGGUUUCAUUUCCGAGAGAAUCACAACAGGACAUUCCGAAGGAAGGGCCCACUCG